rnacentral:lncRNA from 1 species
UUAAGUCCGUUCAUGUGAGGUUAAUUCAUCAUAAUGUUGAAAUUGUUCAGUCAUUCGUUUUUAAAUUGAGUUGCUUAGUCAGCCUAAAUGUCAUGAAUUAGUCAUGAACUUUUGAGCCAAGUCAGUUUGUCCAUAUGGUUAGUCCCUCUAGUUGUUAUUUGAAUUAAAAUACUAGGAUUGAGUGGGAAGCCAUGUGCUGUCAGGGCAUGCUUGGAUUUAAAAUUAAGGCUGCCCAUACACCUUUGAUUAAAAAACUAAAAAGGAAAUACAUUUGAACCAUGCUUAGUACCUUUUAGUUAAAAAAUUAGAAGCAUGUGGGCUGUCAGGGGAAUAUACUCCCAUUUGAACUUUUGAGUGGAAAUUCAAGGAAGAACAUGAGAGUAUAAUGGGGUUAAUUAACUAAGGUUUAAACAGGCUGGAAAUGGGGUUGUUUCGGGCGAAAGGCAGACAAUUUUGGAUUAUAAAUAGAGCAUGUUACUGUUUCAUUAGGGACAUAUUUAUGCAUCAGAAAUUGAGAGUUGAAGAGUGAACUUAAGCAGAGGUAUACAGAUAGAGAGAAAAAUUUCUUGUUUUUCUUUGAGUGGUCAUAAGCAGAAGUAGUUACAUUCAUCACAUCUGUUUCAUUUCUGUUGUGACUGUUUUUUCUUUUUGAGUGUUCAAAAAAUCAGAAGCUUUGUUUUCUUAUGACUGGACCUCUUUUGCUUUGGGAUUUGAGUGCAUUUGGUAUUACUGGAGUUCAUUUGGUACUGAUAUUCAUCUUUUGGAAUAUCUAAUACUCGUUUGGGUGUUGUUGAGUUGAUGUUGGUUCUGGUAGUAUUGCCAUAUACUUGGUGUUGCUGUUUGGAUUUUUCUGGAAUUGGUGUUGGUUUCUUUAAGUAUCCUGCUUGAUUUCAAAUCCUUCUUGGGUCUCUAUUGCCAUUGGUUCAUUGUUAUUUGUUGUUAAAGUUGUGUUGAUGUGUUUGUUCACUGCUGCACUACUGAUAUUCCUUUGCUUCUUUAGCAUUUUUCAAUAUCAGGUACACAACUCUUAUGCUGGUACAAUGUAGCUGAAACAACUUUGAAGCAUGAAUAAAACAAGAGCCUUAAAGCUCAAAACCACUAGCUGUAGUCUUUCCUUCUUAAGUUCUAUAUAUAUGCAUGAUUAGUUUUCAUUCUAUUGAAGUUAUGUAAUUAGUUGCAAUGUAUCAACUAGGUCCAAUUUGUAAUAAGUUAAAGUCGCAAACUCAUGUAUGCUAGUUAGACUAGGAUCAGUACUGCAGUAUGUUUUCCGCCAUUUUAGUUCGUUUCACCUGUAGUCCGUUUAAAAUGCAUGACUAAGUUCAAAUUUGUUAAGUAAUCAGUAGUUCACCUGCGUAAUUAAUUAUUUGUUCAUUCAACCCUUGCAAACAAUUUUUCUUUUCCUUAGUGUUUGAUUUUGUUUCU